rnacentral:tRNA from 1 species
GCGCCCGUAGCCCAAUCGGUAGAGGCGACGGUUUUAGGGGCCGUUCAGUGAGAGUUCGAGUCUCUCCGGGCGCA